UGGGUUUUACAUCGAGUUUAGUUGGGUUUACAGACAUUAUAUCGGACUUAGUCGUGUUUCUGUUGUUUCCCAUCGACCUGACAUCGACGUGAAUACUCCUGAACGGUUAGUGAGAUGUUCUGCUGGCUCAUAAUGUCGAUAUUUAUCCAGGAUUCAACUUUAUUUCAGCGGUCAACGUCUGAAACGGGAGAGCCAUCCGGGACGGUGCUCGAUGACGGACACCAAACUUGAAUCGAAGUGGGAAGGAGAGAAACAUUAACGGCAGGAGGAGACACAGUGGGAGGAUGAGGAGGAGAGAGAGAGGCGUCCGACAGAGAUGAGAGUAUUUAUAGGUGGAGAGACUGGGAGAUAGAGAAGGAGGGAGGGAGGGAAGAGAGAGACUAGAGAGAGAGAGAGAGAGAGAGAGAGAGAGAGAGAGAUCCAGACACAAUAAGAAUAAAAGGAAGACAAAGAGGAGGAAGAGGGCGAGCCAGAGACCAUGCUGAGGAGGAAGAGGAGCGUGUCGUUCGGAGGCUUCGGAUGGAUAGAUAAGUCUACAGUCAGCGCCCUGAGAGCUCGGUGAGUGAACAUCAUGAAAGGAGAUAGCCAAGCAGCCUGUUGGAUCCUGUUAUAUUUCCCAGCUGCUUUCUGUCAGAUCGUAUAUAGAUUUCGGCGUUUCCGAGUGCACUUGAAGGCAGCUUCAG